ACGAACGCUGGCGGCGUGCUUAACACAUGCAAGUCGAACGGAAAGGCCCUGCUUUUGUGGGGUGCUCGAGUGGCGAACGGGUGAGUAACACGUGAGUAACCUGCCCUUGACUUUGGGAUAACUUCAGGAAACUGGGGCUAAUACCGGAUAGGAGCUCCUGCUGCAUGGUGGGGGUUAGAAAGUUUCGGCGGUUGGGGAUGGACUCGCGGCUUAUCAGCUUGUUGGUGGGGUAGCGGCUUACCAAGGCUUUGACGGGUAGCCGGCCUGAGAGGGUGACCGGCCACAUUGGGACUGAGAUACGGCCCAGACUCCUACGGGAGGCAGCAGUGGGGAAUAUUGCACAAUGGGCGGAAGCCUGAUGCAGCAACGCCGCGUGCGGGAUGACGGCCUUCGGGUUGUAAACCGCUUUCGCCUGUGACGAAGCGUGAGUGACGGUAAUGGGUAAAGAAGCACCGGCUAACUACGUG
rnacentral:rRNA from 1 species